rnacentral:rRNA from 1 species
GACGGAGGGUGCAAGCGUUGUGCGGAAUUACUGGGCGUAAAGCGCGUGUAGGCGGCUUGCUAAGUCUGAUGUGAAAGCCCGGGGCUCACCCCCGGAAGUGCAUUGGACACUGGCGAGCUCGAGUCCCGGAGAGGAGGGUGGAAUUCCUGGUGUAGCGGUGAAAUGCGUAGAUAUCAGGAGGAACACCGGUGGCGAAGGCGGCCCUCUGGACGGUGACUGGCGAUGAGACGCGAAAGCGUGGGGAGCAAACAGG